UGUUAUUGUCACCGGAAACAUCGGGUGUGAUAUGUUCUGGUUGUGUCAACUGGAGUGACGCUAAUUGAUUUUGAAUCGAAGAUUCAAUUGUUUUGCUUAAAAAUGAAGUUAGUUGUUCCAUUAACUGAGCCUGUUGAAUGCUUACAGCAGACUGGACGUAGUUAGCGAUUUCCACUUGAGUGGUUAUUGGAAGGGUUGUGUUGUUGGUUUCAGUUUCUGUUGGUCGAUUAGACGUUCCGUCUAUUGUGAUAAAAGAUUCGUUAGCACUAGUUGGACGUGUUCCUUCGGCGUUAAGCUCGGCUAACAACGUGUUGUUAGAGAAUGUAAGUGCCAGAGCAGAACAAUGUAAUGAACAGGUGGGACAUUUUGGGUUUGUCCUAAUCUGUUCCAAAAUACAAAGUUUAUGGAAUUUGUGUCUACACGGGGUGUGGGCUAUAAUCUCACUAGUUCCCAAUACUUCGUUGCAAAUUCCACAAAAUGGUUCUGCUUCCUGCAAAGCAGUUGUUAUAUCAUCUGUACUUCGCCUUACAGCCAUUGUAUAUCAGACAAUAUUUAAGGAAUUAAAGAAAAA